rnacentral:lncRNA from 1 species
GGGCAAAAUUUAUCUUUAUCCAUCUGGAAAAAAUAAUAAGGCUAAUCCACAUCCCAAUACUUGAUACAAAAUCAGUUACACUGAAGAUUUCAAUGUAAACAACAAAUGACAAAAUUUCUUAAAAAUUCAGUAUUCCGUAAAUCACUGUAACUAUUUUAUAAUUCUAGGAUCAAUUCACAAUAUCAAGUAUCUUCAAAAUUCUCAUUCAAUAUAUACUUUUACUGUUAUUAUUAAACAUGUAACAUUCUUAGUAAAUACAGGUUCCUAUACUGAUAUGUGAUGAGUGUUUUUCAAUACUGUGGCAGUUAAGGGACAAAAAAAAACGGAUUGAAAAAAUGGGGUUGUUCUGUAAACACAUGGCCAGAUGAUAAAUAUAUCAUAAUGUGUGGGUUCCAGUUGUCUGAGCUUCAGCAAUCUGAUUCUGCUCUAGUGAAGCAGCUCGCAGCUGGGAGGGGUUUUGUCCCCUGGGGAACAUUUGGACAUGUCUGGAAAUAUUUUUUAUUAUCACAACUUGCAGAAGGGUGGUGCUCCUGACAUCUGGUACACUGAGGCCAGUGACGCUGUUUUUUAGUUUUUUAUUUUUUGUCUUUUUGCCAUUUCUAGGGCCACUCCCGAGGCAUAUGGAGGUUCCCAGGCCAGGGGUCUAAUCGGAGCUGUAGCUGCCGACCUCCGCCACAGCCACUGCAACGUGGGAUCUGAGCCAAGUCUGCAGUCUUCAUCACAGCUCACAGCAAUGCCGGAUCCUUAACCCACGGAGCAAGGCCAGGGAUCGAACCCACAACCUCAUGGUUCCUAGUUGGAUUCGUUAACCACUGAGCCACGAAGGGAACCCCCCUGAGCCAGUGACACUGUUAAACAGAACAGCCACCCACAUCAAAGAAUUAGCCAGGUCAGUGACAAGGGAUUACUCUCCAAAAUAUACAAACAGCUCAUGCAGCUCUAUACUAAAAAAAAAAAAAAAAAAAAAAUUCAAAAAAUGGGCAGAAUACCUCGAAGACCUAAACAGACAUAGCUCCAACGAAGAUAGACAGGUGGCCAAAAAGCACAUAAAAAGAUGCUCAGCAUCACUAAUUAUGAGAGAAAUGCAAAUCAAAACUAGGUGCCACCUCACACCAGUCAGAACGGCUAUUAUCAAAAAGUCUUCAAGCCGUAAUUGCUGGAAAGGGUGUGGAAAAAAGAGAACCCUUCUAUACUGUGGGUGGGGGUGUAAACUGGUGCAGCCUCUAUGGAAAACAGUGUGCAGCUUCCUCAAAAACAACAAAUAGAGCAACCAUGGAGUUUCUGCUGUGGCUCAGCAGUAACGAACCCGAUUAGUAUCCAUGAGGAUGUGAGUUCAAUCCCUGGCCUCACUCAGUGGGUUAAGGAUCUAGCGUUGCCGUGAGCUGUGGCGUAGGUCACAGAUGCCCCUCAGAUUUGGCAUUGCCGUGGCUGUAGUGGAGGGCAGCAGCCGCAGCCUCAAUUUGACCCCUAGCCUGGGAAUCUCCAUAUGCCACAGGUGUGGCCCUAAAAAGACAAUAAAUAAGAUAAAUAAAUAAAUAAAUAAAGAGCUACCAUAUGAUCCAACAGUCCCACUCCUAGGCAUAUAUUCAGACAAAACUAUAAUUCAAAAAGAUACCAGCACCCUAUGUUCUUAGCAGCACUAACGACAAUAGCCAAGACAUGGAAGCAACCAUGUCCAAUUAAAAAAAUAAUAAUAAUUAGCCUGGUCAAAAUAUCAUCACAUCCAGGCUGGAGAAACCCUGAUCUAAUGGAAGGCUGGCAUUUGAUGUUAUUGACAGUAAACCUGUUUUCAGGCGUCUGUGAGCUCAGACCCUAGGCAAGAGAAGGGGAUGCCAAAAGCCCUGUUCUUUGAUGCCUCCUUUUAAAAUUUUAUUGAGGACGUAUUUUGUGCUAGGCACUGUGUUAAUCCCUUUAAGUGUAAUACUUAAUCUUCACAAUUAGCCUCUUUUAAAGAUUACCCUAUUGUAUAAGUUUGCUGUUUUAUAUUCCUAAUGAGGACAUCAAAACUUGGGGAGCCUAGGUAACAUGCCAGGGGUCACUAAGUAUUGAGCAUCAGAGGCUGAAUCAGAACCAAAGCAGUCUGAUGCCAGAGUCUGUGUAAAAAUCUCCAUGUUUUGGAGUUCCCAAUGUGGAACAGUGGGUUAAGAACCUGGAUGCAGCUGCUUGGGUUCCUACAGUGGGUUUAAUACCUGGCUGGGUGCAGUGGGUUAAAGGAUCCAGUGUUGCCACGGCUGUGGCAUAGGUUGAAGCUGCAGCUUGGAUUCCAUCCCUGGCCUGGGAACUUCCAUAGACUGUGAGUCCAGCAAUUAAAAAAUAUCUCCAGAGUUCCUGUUGUGGCUCAGUGGGUUAAGAACUCAACUAGUAUCCAUGACAAUGAGGGUUCUAUCCCUGGCCUUGCUCUGUAGGUUAAGGAUCCAGCAUUGCCAUAACUUGUGGCACAGGUUGCAGAUGCAAACUAAGGAAACAAAUUCUAGCAACAGUCAAGUGUAUCAUUGAUGAUUUCUCCUUCCCAGCGGACAUUUAUGGUCAAUACAGAACCUAAGGUUUUCUUCAUUUCUGCCCUCCUUGGAUGUAGCUUCUUUGCCUUAUUGAUGUGUUUGAAAUAUUUACAAAAUAAAAAUAAAAGUUUAGGCGAGGAGAAAUAGCGCCCUCUGCAGGGCAAAUGAAUCUCGGACUUUUAUAGACGAUUGUUUCCAAGCAAAGAAUGUCUUUUUUUUUUUUUUUAAUGGAGCAGGCAUGCUUUUCUUCUUUUAUAUUGAGGUUAAUGCUGCUGGUGGGCAAUACUGUUUCUCCCAAUUCAUUCAAUCCGCAUCACAAUCUUGUAAGGAAAUUGAGGCGGGCACUUAGAGAACUGGCCAGGGCCUCCUGGCCCAUCAUUUCCAAAGAACAGUAGGUCUCUUUGGGCCCAAACCCAUGCUUUUUCACUCCAUCUUCCAAAGUGGACACUACAAAGAGUCAUGCAGGAGGCACACUGUGACUGGGGGGGGGGGGGAAGCACUGUGUUUUUGCAGCCCUGCUUCUAAAUUAGGGUCUAUAAUUGGCAGUUGAUAAAAACUGCACUAUAACAAGACUCUCUACCUCUGCUCUUACUCUCCUUCAAGCAAUUCAGAUAAGCCCUUUCCAAGGAAUCUUGCUACAACAAGUCUGUGCUUCUCAUAAGCCAUAGAAUUCAAGCCAAGCCGCUUGACCUCAAAUCAUGAAGCCCUCUGCAUUCUGGCAUAAACCUAACACUCCUGGCGUCACUUCCCAAACUCCCAGCCCCACCACUAAGGCAAAUGGGAAUCUUGCCAUUCGCUAAGCGUGCAGUUACACCUUUCUGGCUUUAAGCAAAUGCCAAGUAUCCUCUUCUUUGCCCUCUUCCCUUCCGUUUCUUUUCAGGAUGACUUCAGAUACCAAGGGUCCAUUCUUGUGGUCCCUGGAACCCUGGAGUCAGAUUCCAUUCACCCCAGCUCUGCCACCUACCAGCUGGGUGACACUGGACAAAUCACAUAACCUCUCUGGGGUUCACUGUCCUCAGCUAUAACAUGAGGAUCAUAUUAGUACCUGCCUCAAAGAGUUGUUGUGAGGAUGAAAUAAAUUACUACAUGAUACUUAAAACAGUAUCUGACACUCUCUACAUUUAACUGUUAUCAAAAAUUUCAUCAUCUUCAUCAUCAAUUGCUGCUCAGAAUUUCUUUGCAUCUUUUAGGACCUUAGUGUGUUUGGUGAAAAUGUGUCUAUUCCAUUGUGUGGGGUUUCCUUUCAAUAUUUUAUGUUUCUGUUUUAUCGCCCAUAGAAAAUAUUGUAUCUGUUUUUAUAGAUCCUAUAGAAAUUCAAACAGAAUAAGCCUGGAUAAGACAGAAUCUGCAAAGUUGGUUUCUCCCACGGUGGGCGGCAGAAUCUUGACUCAAAUGCUACUAUAAGCUUGUAUUGAGCUAAGGUUUUUGAGCACAUGCUUUGCGCCAGGAACUGGGCUAAGUACCCUACUUAUAGUUUCUCAUUCAAUGAUCACAAUAACCCUAUGAGGUGCUGUAAUUAUACCCAUUUUGUAGAUAGGAAAACUGAGUCUUGGGGAAGUAGGCUGCACACAGACAAAAAAGUGUCACAGACAAUUAAGACACCCAUGGAAGUGCCUUCGCAGUUAAAGGCGCAAAUACUGCAAUCGACUCUGACCUGCCAUGCACGAGUUCUCGCGUGAACUCCUGACGCUCCUCUUUAAGACACUAGUCAGACCCCCGGCCAAGAACCUCUGUUUUAGGAUCUUCCUUAUGUUGCUUCUCCUUAUACUCAUUCCCUUGGUAACUUUAUCUAGGCUCAUUUUAAAUUUUUAUUUAUUUAUUUAUUUUCUUUUUAGGGCCACGCCUGCGGCAUGUGGAUGUCUGGAGGCUGGGGGUCCAACAGGAGCGGCUGCUGCCGGCCUUCGCCACAGCCACAGCAACCCCAGAUCUGAGCUGCAUCUGCACCUACACCGCAUCUUGUGGCCAUGCUGGACCCUUAACCCACUGAGCGAGACCAGGGAUCAAACCCACAUUCUCAUGAAGAUUACGUUGAGUUCUUAACUGGCUGAGCCACAAGGGGAGCUCCGAUUUCCUUGCUUAUAAUGCUUACUCUUGGCCUCCUUCUGCUGUAGCAUAAGUUCCAUGAGGACAAGGAUUUUUAUAUUUCCUAUUCCUUGAUAAAUCCCCCACACAAGAACAGUAUUUAACAGAAGCAGAUGCUCAAUUAAUACGGAAUGAAUAAAUAAAUCAUCAGAGCUGAGAUUCAAUCCGGGCUGGUCUUAGCAACUAUCACUGUGGCGCCCUCUACAGAGGAGACUCGCACAGUCCCUCUGAUGUACGGCUAGACUAGAAACCAACAUCCCGAAGCCGACAUUCCUCGGUAAGAGCAUCCUCCAUCCACCGACUGUCUUCGCUUAGACAUCACAACCGAUUUCUUGACGGUAUCAUCUGGUUCAUAUUAGGAUAGUAUGAGGCAGAGAACAGAAACAGGUAAAGCAAGCAGAGUCAGAGGCUGGGCUGGGGGACAAUGUGGAGAGAAGGCAAGAGGCACAACAGGGACAAGUCACCAGCGCAGCCCACCUGGCAAGAAGCCCCAGGAAAGAAAGCUUCAAAUCGUUUCACCCUGUUUUCUCCGCUGUGUAGAAACGGCUCAAGGAU